AAUGGGGUCUGGUGUACUGCCUUUGAUGUCGCUGUGUGCCGCGUAGCCAGAAAUCGGCUAUCUAAAGACCGGAUUUUGUUUCUUAAACGCUUCACUAAAGACGAGACUGGUAUGCACGCAAUGCAAUCCUAUCUCAAUAGCUUCUCUUGUUUCGUAGAGAACAACUCGAAGACUACAGCUAGAGUCGUUGCUGUUUGUGAAAUCUGCAUGUCUACGGCAGCGAUUAAACGCGGCCGCGGGGACGUUGACGUCGACAGGCUUCGAUUUCAUGCAGACAUGAUCGACGUCGUACGAUCUAGCGUUGUGCGCUCGUGUCACAACGGAGACUGAAUGCGAACGUACUGGAUGGAUGCGAACGUACUCAGUGCUGUUUGCUGUUUUUUGACGUCUAAAGCGACCGCAGACAGUCCGGAGUGAGCGAUAUCUGGAAGGGCUUGGAGUUGCAUGACGUCAUCGAAACAAGAUGAGUCGUCUUUCUGUGUUUGGGUAAUCAUUUCAUGUGUUUUGUGCUUUGCUUUGGUGAACACAUACAGUAGCAACCAGGAAGAGACCACGUUGUGAUUGGAGUAAUAUGAACGGAAGCAGCUUGGGUUGCAGACUUCACUUCUGACACUGCAUGUCAGACAUCUAUGGAACACAUACAGUAGCAACCAAGAAGAGACCACGUUGACAGAAAUCCUGGACGUCCCAAGCGUAACUUCCAGAGUAUGUGGAGCUUCAGGGAGACUACUUCCAGCCAACUGUUUUCUCUUGCUCAACAAGGUGAUAGCAUCUGGUGGUUUCAUCAAACACAAAAGCACGUCGACAUGUCAGACAGUUAUGUUUUAUUGCAUGAUUUAUGAUAUGCACGCAGCGCUACAUGAUCUAGAAUUCUAGACAGUUAUUACAACAUGCAGUUAUUUAUUUCACUGGAA